UCUGAGGCACCGUUGCCAAUAAAGGUUGGUGAAUUGAAGUACCGGUAGGCACUUUACACAUCCACUGAAGAAAAUAGUUCCAAAACAUAUUUGAAUAAGGAGGACAACGAAAUGUAUUUAUUUACAUUGAGAACUUUUGCUACAUCGGUUUUACAUUUGUUAAACCGAUGUAGCACUCUCAAAAAUUAAUCUUGUGUUUCUUGGAAAACGUAAAAUGACCCGCGGAUGGAUAUGCGGUUUCAAAAUCAAGCCUGUUCUCUUCAUCAGUCCGUUGGCGCGGAGUCUGCCUGUUGGCUGAUCUACGAAAGAAUCUCGAGGAUCUUUGUGAGGAGCCCGUGGAGCUUGGCACAGGUGGAGGAGCAGCAGAAUCUUCAGUCUACGCUAGAUUGACUGAAGAUUCUACUGGUGUAUGCUAGAUGGUUGCAUACACCGGUAGUCACUCUGGCCUCUCCUGUUGUGAACAGUUUUCUGAGAACGUUUCUGUGUCUACUAGAAGUCACCUGGUCUCUGUGUUUGUUCGAUCCUAGGGGUUUUGUCGCCUCAUUCGAGAACUCACCAGUGAAUACCUGCCUGCUCGCUCCGCCGAUUCCACUGCCUCCACUCCACCCUUCGAGCUUCCAGCUCUCUUCCAUUCCCACCUCGCAUUUACCUUCGGAACUGCUGCACACCCUCUCUCAGGAACCUGGCAUCUCACACCCACGCCUCGAAAGACCCGCACCGAAGCUUCAAGAGGAUCAGCGUGUGAAGAUCACUUUAUAAUGAUUUGAAAAAGGUUGCCAUGGCUACAGAAAUUGGAGGAGCAUCCUUAGAUGACACAAUACAACCAGCUGUGCGAUUCCUCAUGUCCCAUGAACUGGAAGUCCAGUUCAACCUUUUUGGCCAACAUUGGAAACAAGCUCUUGGACCUGCGUCUCUUUGAUGUUUUGUAUGGGGACUUAAAAGAAAUUAUCCAUCUACAGAAUCACACAAGCAUACAGCAAAGACUCUCGAAGUGGUUUACUGGAGCCCGAGUGGAAGUGGAAAUAGACUAGAGAGACUGCCAGUUCAAACUCAGGUUGGGGAGGUCUUUCAAGAUGGACAGUUUCAGUAAAGUAUGAGAGAUUUCAAAUUUAAGCAUGCAUAUGGCAUGUAGGUUAUUUUUAAAAAUGUUUAACAAAAAUGUAUUGUGAAAGAUCUAUAUAGGUGUGUAUAUUCACAUUGUGUGUAUCAAUGUGAAUAUACGUGUAUAAAGUUAUAUAGAUAGUAUUUAGAUGUAUACAUUUAUAGACCUGUAGGAAAAUAUGUAGGUGUCUUUAUUUGUGUGCAUCUAUAGAUAUAUAUUUAUAGAUCUGUUUAUAAGUUUGUUAUAGUAAACUAGCUUCUGUUAUUUUCAAAGAUGUCGUGAAUAAUUGCAGAUUUCUUUUUGUGGCACCAUUCCCUGAGUAUUAAUGAAGUUCUAAUAAUUGCUGUAGUGAGGUAAAAAAUAACUCCUGACAAUAUUUUAAAUUACUAAAUAAAAGCCUUGAGCAAAAUAAA